rnacentral:rRNA from 1 species
UACGUAGGGACCAAGCGUUGUUCGGAUUUACUGGGCGUAAAGGGCGCGUAGGCGGCGCUGUAAGUCACUUGUGAAAUCUCCGGGCUUAACUCGGAACGGUCAAGUGAUACUGCAGUGCUAGAGUGCGGAAGGGGCAAUCGGAAUUCUUGGUGUAGCGGUGAAAUGCGUAGAUAUCAAGAGGAACCCCUGAGGUGAAGACGGGUUGCUGGGCCGACACUGACGCUGACAGCGCGAAAGCGUGGGGAGCAAACAGG